GUUGUGGCUCAGUGGUAGAAGGCUUGCCUAGCACGUGUGAGGCCCUGGGUUUGAUUCUCAGCAUCACA
rnacentral:tRNA from 1 species